GAUGAACGCUGGCGGCGUGCCUAAUACAUGCAAGUCGAGCGAACAGACGAGGAGCUUGCUCCUCUGACGUUAGCGGCGGACGGGUGAGUAACACAUGGAUAACCUACCUAUAAGACUGGGAUAACUUCGGGAAACCGGAGCUAAUACCGGAUAAUAUAUUGAACCGCAUGGUUCAAUAGUGAAAGACGGUUUUGCUGUCACUUAUAGAUGGAUCCGCGCCGCAUUAGCUAGUUUGUAAGGUAACGGCUUACCAAGGCAACGAUGCGUAGCCGACCUGAGAGGGUGAUCGGCCACACUGGAACUGAGACACGGUCCAGACUCCUACGGGAGGCAGCAGUAGGGAAUCUUCCGCAAUGGGCGAAAGCUUGACGGAGCAACGCCGCGUGAGUGAUGAAGGUCUUCGGAUCGUAAAACUCUGUUAUUAGGGAAGAACAAAUGUGUAAGUAACUAUGCACGUCUUGACGGUACCUAAUCAGAAAGCCACGGCUAACUACGUG
rnacentral:rRNA from 1 species